rnacentral:misc_RNA from 1 species
AAUAAAUAAGUAAAUAAAUAAAUAGAUACAAGAACUAUUAAACUAAGAAGCACAACCUGCAAAGGAAAAAUGCAAGUUAGACUGGAAGAAAUAAACUCACUCCUCCUGCAACCUGAGAAAAAUAUUUGAAUAAGAAUAAGUGUUCGACUCAGAGAGUUUAGAUAUUGAUGAUAAAUGCAAUUUCUAUAACUAUAUAAAACUAAUGCAAUCCUACCAUGAAAUGCAUACCCAUCACAUAUAAUAAUUAAUUCACCCAGUAUUCGUACGAGAAGUUCACUUGGAGCUAGGGCUAAGCAAAAUUCGGUUCAAACCAAAAAAUCGAACCAAACCGAAUCAAUUCGGU